rnacentral:lncRNA from 1 species
AAGAAAGAGGGUUGAAACCUUCAUGACAAUGCUAGAGAAUUAACAGUGAGAGAUGCAUUAAGCAACAACACAGUUUUGCCUUUUACAAGCUCCCUGAGGUUUUUAUUUCAGUCAGAGGACCAAGAUUUCAGUUCAAGUCACUGGAAGAAAAGAGCUGUCAUUUAUGCUCUCUACUUACAGGUAAAUUGUCUUGUGAUUAUUUCCACAGAACUCUGACUUGGAUAAGCUACCUAAGAUCGGAACCCUCUGAUAAUUUGUGCUGCUAUUUUAAGAUCCAGUUCCAUUCUACAACUGGCUGAAGCAUGAAGUCAACUAAAAUAAACUGAAUUGAGUGGAACUGAACUGAACUGAAGUGAAAUAAUGUGAUUUCCAGUAAACCUGACACCUUAAGGACAGAACAUGAGCCUUGCCCAUCUUCCUCCCAGAGGUCCCAGCACAAUCACCGACUCACACAAUACUCUCAGUGCAUGAGUGAUGAAUUUCACUAACAGCGACCCAUCUCUCUACAUAAUCCACUCCGGUUUCACCAGAGCUGAGAGUAUCAUGAAUUACAUCUAUAGAUAGCUGUAAGCUAAUGACCAAAGCACAUAACUGAAUUCAAACAUAUUCUUUAUUGCAGUCAGAUGUGAGAAAACAAAAUUUAGAAGACAAGCCAGAAAGGAAAUGAAGAACAUAAAGAGCCUGAAUUCUCAUCGUCAAUUUUUCCCUGACUGACUCCGUUUUCCUCUCUUCUUUCCAUUUACCUUUCUGUUCCCAUCCCCAUCAUUUUUGUAGUGUUUAUUGAGUGUCUGCUGCAUGCCAGUCAAUGUGCUGAGUACUUUUCAUGUGUUAUACCAUUUGAUCGUCACAGCAGCACACUAUUAUAAUUAUGAAUAUGAUUCCACAUACUAUAUCUAAAAUUUAACUUAAUUUUACAUAGGAGGAAGCUGAGACUUGCCCAAGACUACUCCAUUAGUAAGAUGUGAACCAAGUGAACCAUGUCUGACUCAAACCUAACCCCUGAUUCUCUGAAUCCAUAUCACCGUAGAACUCAACAGUGAAAUAUUGGGGUAGAGACAGGCUGCAUGGAGAUUGUAGCAUGAAUGCAGAUAUUGGAAAUUUACUGGAUGUAUGAUCAGACAAACCAAUUGAAGUGGAGAAGAGAACCAAUCAGCCAAAUCAUUACAGAAGUUGCACCACUGCCUGAAAUAUCUUGACUGAUUCUAUAUAAGUUGAAUUUUUGCCGAAUAAAUUCUGAAAAUAAUUACAAGCUUCCUUUUGAUUUGAAUGUUACACAUCAAGUUCUAGUAAGAGCUAAUUUUACAUCAUUGACAGAUAACAAAAUAGAAGGAACAAAGUGCCCUUUGAGUUAAGGGCACUCCAAUGUCCCGGAAUUUAACCUUUUUGUCAGAUCAAUAAGGUUUAGUGCAACUAGCCAGACACCUGUCC